rnacentral:tmRNA from 1 species
GGGGAUGACUGGUUUCGACUUGGACGGUAGUUCGAGGAGAAGCGGGCCGAGGAUCCAUGCCUAUCUCGUUAACGCUGCAUGGGAACCAAUAAGUGCCAACAACAACCGCACUGACUUCGCUCUCGCUGCCUGAUCAGCGAUCGAAGGGUCACGCCCGGGGGUGCCUUCCUUCCGGUGCCUGGCCUCAAUCUAGAAGGCUUGCUGAAACGCCUGAGCCUCAGGGGCGUUUCGGGACUUAACUGAAGCUGGGCCUGGCUGCAACUUGCUG